GUUCGGCGUGGUGGUGACGGCACUGCCCCGGCCGUUGGCAACGGUGGGCGGGUUCGAUCCGCCGGACUCGCCGUUCGUGCGGGCGGCCGGACC
rnacentral:tRNA from 1 species